rnacentral:snRNA from 1 species
AUACUUACCUGGCAGGGGAGAUACCAUGAUCGGGCAGGUGGUUUUCCCAGGGUGAGGUUCAUCCAUUGCACUUGGGCUGUGCUGACCCAGGCGAUUUUCCCAAAUGUGGGAAACUCGGCUGCAUAAUUUGUGGUAGUGGGGGACUGUGUGCAUGCUCUCCCCUU